rnacentral:miRNA from 1 species
GAUCCAAAAAAGUGCCACGUGAGC